AUUGAACGCUGGCGGCAGGCCUAACACAUGCAAGUCGAGCGGACGAAGGGAGCUUGCUCCUGGAUUCAGCGGCGGACGGGUGAGUAAUGCCUAGGAAUCUGCCUGGUAGUGGGGGAUAACGUCCGGAAACGGGCGCUAAUACCGCAUACGUCCUGAGGGAGAAAGUGGGGGAUCUUCGGACCUCACGCUAUCAGAUGAGCCUAGGUCGGAUUAGCUAGUUGGUGGGGUAAAGGCCUACCAAGGCGACGAUCCGUAACUGGUCUGAGAGGAUGAUCAGUCACACUGGAACUGAGACACGGUCCAGACUCCUACGGGAGGCAGCAGUGGGGAAUAUUCGACAAUGGGCGAAAGCCUGAUCCAGCCACGCCGCGUGUGUGAAGAAGGUCUUCGGAUUGUAAAGCACUUUAAGUUGGGAGGAAGGGCAGUAAGUUAAUACCUUGCUGUUUUGACGUUACCAACAGAAUAAGCACCGGCUAACUUCGUG
rnacentral:rRNA from 1 species